GGGGCCGUGUUUUGUGGCGGGUGGGGUGGCAUCGCCAGGUCCCCAGAACUCCCGUCUCCCCGGCCUUCUGCGUGCCCGCUCUGCGCCCCUACCUCACCCCCGGGCCAGGGUGCCUGAUGCCGACCCCGCUCUAAAGAGUAGUGUCUUCUGCGGGGGAAGGGGGCGGCCCUGUCUCCCACCCUCCACGCCCACCUUUUCUUUCCCCUUGGCCGAUUCCCCCCCUGGGAAGACGCUCCUCCUCCCCCCCUCCGACAGCACCCAGAUUUGGGGCGGCUAACGCUGUAUCCUUGACCCUUUGUCCUCUUGCGUUUGCCUUUACCCGAGCCCCUUAUUCCGUUAAAGGCUCUGCUCGUGCCUAGUUGAUAGUUCGGGACAAGGGAUGAUUGCAGUUGGAGGAUGCACUGAUCCUACUUCUCCGACUCGGACAUCUGAGCAAAUUCCGUAAGCCCGGCUUUAGAUGCUGGCGUGCCUCUCUCCCAGUCGCGUGACCAUUUCCCCCUAACGGAUGAAACACUGCCUGGUCCUGCGCCAUCCGCACAGUCA